AGCAGUCGCCGCGGUAAUACGUAGGUGGCAAGCGUUGUCCGGAAUUAUUGGGCGUAAAGGGCUCGCAGGCGGUUUCUUAAGUCUGAUGUGAAAGCCCCCGGCUCAACCGGGGAGGGUCAUUGGAAACUGGGAAACUUGAGUGCGGAAGAGGAGAGUGGAAUUCCACGUGUAGCGGUGAAAUGCGUAGAGAUGUGGAGGAACACCAGUGGCGAAGGCGACUCUCUGGUCUGUAACUGACGCUGAGGAGCGAAAGCGUGGGGAGCGAACAGGAUUAGAUACCCCUGUAGUCCCUGUCUCUUAUAA
rnacentral:rRNA from 1 species